AAAAGAAACUAACAAGGAUUCCCCUAGUAACGGCGAGUGAAGCGGGAUGAGCUCCAAAUUUAAAAUCUGGCUGGUUUACCAGUCCGAGUUGUAGUUUAAAGAAGCGUUUUCGGUGGCAGGCCGGGUAUAAAUCCUUUGGAACAGGGUAUCAUAGAGGGUGAGAAUCCCGUCUUUGACUCGGCUGAUGUUACUAUGUGAUACGUUUUCAAAGAGUCGAGUUGUUUGGGAAUGCAGCUCAAAAUGGGUGGUAAAUUUCAUCUAAGGCUAAAUAUUGGCGAGAGACCGAUAGCGAACAAGUACCGUGAGGGAAAGAUGAAAAGAACUUUGAAAAGAGAGUUAAACAGUGCGUGAAAUUGUUGAAAGGGAAACGUUUGACACCAGCUAUGUAGGCGGAAAAUCAGUCAAGCGCAGUGAGGGGCUGGUGUUUGUCCGGACCGCAAGGCCGGCGGAUAUCUCAUCUUUGCUGUGGGUGAUGCACUUUUUCGUUCGCAGGUCAACAUCAGUUUCGCUUGCUGGACAAAACCCCGAGAGAAGGUAGCAGCUUUGGCUGUGUUAUAGCUCUGGGGCGAUACAGUGGGUGGGACUGAGGAUUCGCAGUGUGUGCUCUCGGGCAAGGCUGACUGGGUGCUCUGGGGUCGUUUGGCGUACAAUGCUUGCAUUUUGCGUCUUGUCUUCUUCAGACUCGCUUAGUUCGGCUCUUCC
rnacentral:rRNA from 2 species